AUCGGGUGUUCCCGACUCUGUUCUGCCGCAGAUGGGAACAUAUUGGACAACUCUCUUUAGACGGUUUAAUAUCUUCUAAAAAUAACUGUCACGGUUUGUCUCCUCAAAGACGAAGAGCGGCUUUGCACUUUGGUAAAAAAAGGACUUGGAGUUGCGGUGACGACAUUAGAAGAGCUAUUAACGAGACUUAAUGAGGACAACAGAGAGCUCCAUCACGAAGUAAAGGGGGUAAAUACUUGAUCCCCUGGUGCUUCUGCAAGGUGGAGAUGGCAACAGUCUGCUCUCCCCCUGAUGAAUGGGGCCAUGUGCUGUAGAAUAUUGGAUGGCAACCUCCUGGCCGCAGCCGGAACACUGAAGACGGGUCGUGGAUGGGUCUCCCAGCAGGACAAUGACCCAGAAUAUCUGGCCAAAGCAACAAAGGGGUGGGUCAAGAAGAAGCACGUCAAGAUCCUGCCGUGUCCUCGCCAGUCUCCAGACAUUAACGCCAUUGAAAAUCUGCAGAGGGAGCUGAGAUUUUGCGUUGCCAAACACCUAAAAAACACUCUCCUGUUCGAUCCGGCCCUUUUACCAGGACGGGACCACCCAGGUUCUUGAAUUUUUUUCAACUGCGAAAUAACUCAUCUUGAGUUCAAAAGUAAGUUUAAUGAUUGAUUCUAUUUGGAGUGAAUACAAGCGAUUGUAAUGCCAGCACUGGAGAGAACGGUCAGCCACCCAGUCUAGCAAGGUCCGAGUAGUCUGUAAACAGAAUUCCACUUCCUCGUAAGCCUUUUGUGGAGGCGGUCCUAUUCAUUAAGAAACUUCCCGUUUACUGUUUGCUGGUGUAUUAUCUGAUCUAGUUUCAAACAGUCCUGGCUUGGUGGCUAGACGUCUCAGCCAGGAGACAGUAAGGUGACUCCUAAUGAAACUAUAUGUCUGUGUGUGUUUGUUCCAAGUG